rnacentral:rRNA from 1 species
UACGAAGGGGGCUAGCGUUGCUCGGAAUUACUGGGCGUAAAGGGCGCGUAGGCGGUUCUAUAAGUCAGGCGUGAAAUUCCUGGGCUUAACCUGGGGGCUGCGCUUGAGACUGUGGGACUUGAGGUCAGAAGAGGGUCGUGGAAUUCCCAGUGUAGAGGUGAAAUUCGUAGAUAUUGGGAAGGACACCGGUGGCGAAGGCGGCGACCUGGUCUGAUACUGACGCUGAGGCGCGAAAGCUAGGGGAGCAAACGGG